rnacentral:lncRNA from 1 species
CUAGGUUAUAGAUAUAUAGUUACCAUUCUACCAGAAGAAAGAUAGGAAAUCCGACAUUGAGCAUAUUGUUCCCAAGUUCAGUUUAAUUAUCUAGUUUCCUAAAUGCUAAAUAAAAUUAAGACUAUAUGUGGCAAGAAAACAAAUCCAUAGAGGCCCAACCUAGAGUCCAGCCUAUAUUUUAGUUAUUAGACUCACCAAGUCAUCAACCACAAGGCUUCUAGAGUUGAGACAACACAUUGCCAUCAUUACAUGCUCAAUUUCAUUUGAAAAUGGCUGGAGCCCACCAGAAUGGCUUGAAUUGACUAGUAUUGAGUAUUGAAAGGAAUCGGUGCUCGUAGCCUAAGAGGGGGAAGGGGGUGAAUUAGGAAAACUUAAAACUUUAACCGAUGGCUUCCACUACCAUACAUCAAAAUAUACACUAUAUCAUGCUAUCUAGAUGUGCAUCUAUGGUUGAUCUAGCGAAACUUCCCAUCCACAACGAGUUUUUCAACCAAUAACUAAUCCUAUCAAGAUACUACUCUAGAAUAAAAAAACACUCAAGUUGGAAGUAAGUAAUGCAGAAACGUCAAGGAGUGGCUUAGGAAGGAUGCAAACUCGACACGGUGAUUUAUCCCACGCUAUUGGUACGCAAAUGCCAUUCCUAAUCCACGUUGGAGCUCUUGGUCACAAAGUUAUAUCCUGGUCAAGAUCUUGGACUCGCCACAAAGGCUCUCGUCAAGCUGGAUGAGAAACUUUCCAUAAAGGCAAGGCUCACCACUCCCUCUCUUCCAGCCACCUUGAUGCCAUCUCCACUAUGGAGCUCCUCCAUGAAGGAGGAGAUCUCCUCAUCUCCCGCAC